UUUCCGUAGGUGAACCUGCGGAAGGAUCAUUAUUGAAACAUUGUAAAGGAAAGUUGAGCUGGUCCUUCAAGGGCAAGUGCUCGCUUUACUUUCAAUCUUCAUCCACCUGUGCACUUUUUGUAGAGAGCUUGAGAAACAUGAAGGUCCUUUAACUAGGGCUUUCUAAGUAUUGAGCGCUCUAUGUCUUUACAAACUCUGAAUGUAUGUCGUUGAAUGUCUUUACAAGGGACUUAAUUGUACCUUUUAAAAACUAUACAACUUUCAGCAACGGAUCUCUUGGCUCUCGCAUCGAUGAAGAACGCAGC
rnacentral:misc_RNA from 1 species